rnacentral:lncRNA from 1 species
AAAAAGUGAAGAAGAAAAAGAAAAAAGAAAUUGCAAAAGAAAAAGAAAUCGAAAAAGUGAAAGAAAAAGAAAACGAAGAAAAGAAAAUUGAAAAAGAAAUUGAGAUUGAGAAAAAAAUUGAAAAAGAAAAAGAUGUUGAAAAAGAAAAGAGAGAAAAUGAAGAUAGUGAGCGAGAACAAGAAAAUGAGAACGAAAUUUUAACUAACCCCCG